UACGGGGGGAGCAAGCGUUGUUCGGAUUUACUGGGCGUAAAGGGCGCGUAGGCGGCGUAACAAGUCACUUGUGAAAUCUCCGGGCUUAACUCGGAGCGGUCAAGUGAUACUGUUGUGCUAGAGUGCGGAAGGGGCUACUGGAAUUCCCAGUGUAGAGGUGAAAUUCGUAGAUAUUGGGAAGAACACCGAUGGCGAAGGCAGCCAUCUGGACCGACACUGACGCUGAGGCGCGAAAGCGUGGGGAGCAAACAGG
rnacentral:rRNA from 1 species